GUGCCAGCAGCCGCGGUAAUACGAAGGGUGCAAGCGUUAAUCGGAAUUACUGGGCGUAAAGGGUGCGUAGGCGGUUGGUUAAGUCUGUUGUGAAAUCCCCGGGCUCAACCUGGGAAUGGCAAUGGAUACUGGCGAGCUAGAGUGUGUCAGAGGAUGGUGGAAUUCCCGGUGUAGCGGUGAAAUGCGUAGAGAUCGGGAGGAACAUCAGUGGCGAAGGCGGCCAUCUGGGACAACACUGACGCUGAAGCACGAAAGCGUGGGGAGCAAACAGGAUUAGAUACCCUGGUAGUCCACGCCCUAAACGAUGCGAACUGGAUGUUGGUCUCAACUCGGAGAUCAGUGUCGAAGCUAACGCGUUAAGUUCGCCGCCUGGGGAGUACGGUCGCAAGACUGAAACUCAAAGGAAUUGACGGGGGCCCGCACAAGCGGUGGAGUAUGUGGUUUAAUUCGAUGCAACGCGAAGAACCUUACCUGGCCUUGACAUGUCCGGAAUCCUGCAGAGAUGCGGGAGUGCCUUCGGGAAUCGGAACACAGGUGCUGCAUGGCUGUCGUCAGCUCGUGUCGUGAGAUGUUGGGUUAAGUCCCGCAACGAGCGCAACCCUUGUCCUUAGUUGCCAGCACGUCAUGGUGGGAACUCUAAGGAGACUGCCGGUGACAAACCGGAGGAAGGUGGGGAUGACGUCAAGUCCUCAUGGCCCUUACGGCCAGGGCUACACACGUACUACAAUGGUCGGUACAGAGGGUUGCGAAGCCGCGAGGUGGAGCCAAUCCCAGAAAGCCGAUCCCAGUCCGGAUCGAAGUCUGCAACUCGACUUCGUGAAGUCGGAAUCGCUAGUAAUCGCGGAUCAGCUAUGCCGCGGUGAAUACGUUCCCGGGCCUUGUACACACCGCCCGUCACACCAUGGGAGUGGGUUGCUCCAGAAGCCGUUAGUCUAACCGCAAGGAGGACGACAACCACGGAGUGGUUCACGACUGGGGUGAAGUCGUAACAAGGUAACC
rnacentral:rRNA from 1 species